rnacentral:rRNA from 1 species
UCGGGAAUUUUGGGCAAUGGGGGAAACCCUGACCCAGCAACGCCGCGUGAAGGAUGAAGUAUUUCGGUAUGUAAACUUCGAAAGAAUAGGAAGAUAAAUGACGGUACUAUUUAUAAGGUCCGGCUAACUACGUGCCAGCAGCCGCGGUAAUACGUAGGGACCAAGCGUUGUUCGGAUUUACUGGGCGUAAAGGGCGCGUAGGCGGCAUGACAAGUCACUUGUGAAAUCUCUGGGCUUAACCCAGAACGGCCAAGUGAUACUGUCGCGCUAGAGUGCAGAAGGGGCAAUCGGAAUUCUUGGUGUAGCGGUGAAAUGCGUAGAUAUCAAGAGGAACACCUGAGGUGAAGACGGGUUGCUGGGCUGACACUGACGCUGAGGCGCGAAGGCCAGGGGAGCAAACGGGAUUAGAUACCCGUGUAGUCCCUGAGCGGGCUGGCAAGGCGCAU